UACGUAGGGGGCUAGCGUUGUCCGGAAUCAUUGGGCGUAAAGAGCGUGUAGGCGGUCCGGUAAGUCCGCUGUGAAAGUCGGGGGCUCAACCCUCGAAUGCCGGUGGAUACUGUCGGGCUAGAGUCCGGAAGAGGAGAGUGGAAUUCCUGGUGUAGCGGUGAAAUGCGCAGAUAUCAGGAAGAACACCCGUGGCGAAGGCGGCUCUCUGGUACGUGACUGACGCUGAGACGCGAAAGCGUGGGGAGCAAACAGG
rnacentral:rRNA from 1 species